UGUCCAUGGGAUUCUCCAGGCAAGGAUACUGGAGUGGGCUGCCAUUGCCUUCUCCAGGGGAUUUUUCCCACUCAGGGAUUGAACUUGGGUCUCCUGCAUUGCAGGCAGAUUCUUUACUGGCUGAGCUACAUGGAUCCCUGCGUGGAUACAUGUGUACAACUAAACCACUUUCCUGUACACCUGAAACCAACACAAGGUUGUAAAUUGACUACGCUCUAAAUAAACAUUAAAUUUUACAAAAUGGCAAUGACCAUAUGAGCAGCUCAGCCACUACCAGCACCCCCCAGGGACAUUCAAUCCUGCUGCUCCACCUCCCUGAGCCAGCUCCCUGACUUCCCCUUCACUGCUCCUUUGGGACUUGUCUACAGGUGAGCCUCUGCCACCAGAUGGUGACCUUCAAGGGCAGAAUCCCUCCCUGGGUCUUCCUUGCUCUGUCCAGGCUCAUCCUCGGACAAGCUCUCUUCUUGGCUCUAGUCACACAUUUAUGUGCAGCAGGAAAUGAGAAACUUCCCAACCAGUUCAAACCAAAGUCUCAGGAUUGAGUUGCACUGAGCCUGACGGGCCUGCCUUGGGGCAUGGGCCCAUCCCUGAGCCAGUUGCUGUGGCCAGGAGAUGAAAUGCCCUUACUGCCUUAGUCUGGGUCACAUGCAGCCCUGGGGUGAGACUCUCACAGGAGGGCAUGAACUGGGAGUAGGACGGGAGCAGACACUCCAAGGAAAAGCAAGAGUUGGGAAAUCAAAGUCAACGGAUACAGGAUGGUGCCCCCACAUAAGAGAUGCCCACUCUGAGUAUACAGUUAUAUUCAUUUCCCAGUGCCGGGUACAGAGGAAAUGGGUGAAUUGCUGGAUGAGCAAUAAUCAAGGACGUAGAAGUGUCAUUCCAAGUUCCUGGAGAAGAACUUGAAAGGGCCAGGCUGGAGAGUUGGAGAAUGGGCAGAAUUCUGACACCCCGGGACAGAGAAAGUGGAAAUAGAUGCUUUAAAUCAGUCGCUCAAAACCUUGGCUGAGGAUUAAAAUCACCCAGAGGGCCAUGACAAAAUGCCAGUGCCAAGGUCCCACCUCCAGGGAGAAUGAUUUAAUUGGUUUGGUUGGUGGCCAGGCAUCAGUAACACUCCCCAGGUAGUUCCAAUGCACAGCCAGGGUUGCCAGCCACUGCUGUAAGCCUCCUGGUGCCCAACAGAAGUGGAUGUGAGACUCAGAGCCCCAGGAGCUUGGGAACUGGUAGGAACAAAAAGGAACACACUCGCUGGCUAGGCUUUCUUGAGACUUAGGACUUUGGAGGAGAACCAAAGACCCAAGAAAUUUGUUGAGCCAAGGAAGAGCUGUACCGGGCACAGGGCAGAAAGAAUUCUAAAGCCUGCUAGAGCUCUCUGAGAGGGGCGGGAGCUGUGUAGAUGAAUUGCCUCUGACUGGCAGCAGCCAUAGAACAGGGAGCUA
rnacentral:lncRNA from 1 species